CAGUAGCCGCGGGAAUACGUAGGUGGCAAGCGUUGUCCGGAAUUAUUGGGCGUAAAGCGCGCGCAGGCGGAUAGGUCAGUCUGUCUUAAAAGUUCGGGGCUUAACCCCGUGAUGGGAUGGAAACUGCCAAUCUAGAGUAUCGGAGAGGAAAGUGGAAUUCCUAGUGUAGCGGUGAAAUGCGUAGAUAUUAGGAAGAACACCAGUGGCGAAGGCGACUUUCUGGACGAAAACUGACGCUGAGGCGCGAAAGCCAGGGGAGCGAACGGGAUUAGAGACCCCAGUAGUCCCUGUCUCUUAUACA
rnacentral:rRNA from 1 species